rnacentral:rRNA from 1 species
GAUGAACGCUGGCGGCGUGCCUAAUACAUGCAAGUCGAGCGAACGGACGAGAAGCUUGCUUCUCUGAUGUUAGCGGCGGACGGGUGAGUAACACGUGGAUAACCUACCUAUAAGACUGGGAUAACUUCGGGAAACCGGAGCUAAUACCGGAUAAUAUUUUGAACCGCAUGGUUCAAAAGUGAAAGACGGUCUUGCUGUCACUUAUAGAUGGAUCCGCGCUACAUUAGCUAGUUGGUAAGGUAACGGCUUACCAAGGCAACGAUGCAUAGCCGACCUGAGAGGGUGAUCGGCCACACUGGAACUGAGACACGGUCCAGACUCCUACGGGAGGCAGCAGUAGGGAAUCUUCCGCAAUGGGCGAAAGCCUGACGGAGCAACGCCGCGUGAGUGAUGAAGGUCUUCGGAUCGUAAAACUCUGUUAUUAGGGAAGAACAUAUGUGUAAGUAACUGUGCACAUCUUGACGGCACCUAAUCAGAAAGCCACGGCUAACUACGUG